ensembl:lncRNA
AUUUACCAUUUAACUCUAUCUGACUGAGGCCUAAAAAUGUAAAUUAAUCGAGUUCCUAUCACCGAUCUAGAUAUAAUUCUCUAUUACAGAUCAGUGGAUCCCAUAUUUAAAAGAUUCAAAUGAAGCAGUUCUUAUUACGUUCAGCUUUUUGUGUCUCAAACCAGAAGUAAAAAGAAGAGAACAUAGUAUUUUAUGCGAAAGAGACUGUGGGCAGAGCUAAAUCACAAACAGUAAAGCCAUUGGUUGAGAAUGUGAUUAAUAACAGACACCUGCUAGAGAUUAGAUUAGAUUAGAUUAGAUUAGAUUAGAAACAAGAAUCUGCACGAACACGUCAACACAGAGAAGUCUCUGAAUGCAGUAACUGUUGUGAGAUGAGUUUCUGCUUCCUGUCUGCAGGAGGUUCUGCUUCAGAGCUGCUGGAGGUCAGGAGAAGCAGGAGUGACCUCUGACCUGGAGCUCUCGGACCGUUCUCUGGGUCAAUGCUUCCAUCAGAGAAUGAUCAGAGCCGUGUGUGAACAAUAAAAAGAUGAAUGAGACGUUUGUGUUCUGUUCAUGAUCUGCAGAGAUCAUCUGAUCUCAGGUCUCCAGACGUUUGCUGUUAGUUCUGAUCAGUAGUUUAAUGUUCUCAAGUAAGGUUUGUGUGUGUGAGAUUUCUCCGUGGAUAAGCUGCGGCUGAGCUGUAGUUUAAAGUUAAACCACACGUGUUGAAAUAAAUGAGGUUUCUAUGUGAACGUCAGUAAUGUGAAGCAGUCGUAUUGUUAAUGGUUGAGCUGUGUGUGAUUCCGGCACGGAUCUGGAGCUGAUAUUAGUGUGUGUGUGUGUGUGUGUGAGAAAAUGACUGGUUUAUAUUGGUGCGAACGGUCAAAGGUGCAGGUGUCCGUCUGUGGAGUCCUGGAUCAGAUCCUGCAGCGUUCAGCAGGAGACGUCUGCUGCUGAGGGGGUUAUUAAUAUUAAUAAAAGAGUUGUGGACUCAGCCUGUGUCUGGAGUAUUUUAGAAGUCGGAGAAAGAGAGUUUGCUCGGUGCUGCUGGAUCUGGUGUGUGGAGCCCCAGAGGGAGCGUCUGGAUCUUCAUGUCUGUCCUUCUCUUGUCUCUGAUCGUGCUCUGAUCCGCUCUGCAGCUUGUCACAGCUCACGACCGUCACGCAACCGUGCUUCUGUGACCAGGCUGGGGUUCGAACCCAGGCUCCUUCCGUUCAGGGAGGAUCACUCAGACCACUGAGCCACUGGCA